rnacentral:rRNA from 1 species
UACGUAGGGGGCAAGCGUUAUCCGGAUUUACUGGGUGUAAAGGGAGCGUAGACGGUAAAGCAAGUCUGAAGUGAAAUGCCAGUGCUCAACACUGGAACUGCUUUGGAAACUGUUUGGCUGGAGUGCAGGAGAGGUAAGUGGAAUUCCUAGUGUAGCGGUGAAAUGCGUAGAUAUUAGGAGGAACACCAGUGGCGAAGACGGCUUACUGGACUGUAACUGACGUUGAGGCUCGAAAGCGUGGGGAGCAAACAGG